rnacentral:rRNA from 1 species
AAAUUGAAGAGUUUGAUCAUGGCUCAGAUUGAACGCUGGCGGCAGGCCUAACACAUGCAAGUCGAACGGUAACAGGAAGCAGCUUGCUGCUUUGCUGACGAGUGGCGGACGGGUGAGUAAUGUCUGGGAAACUGCCUGAUGGAGGGGGAUAACUACUGGAAACGGUGGCUAAUACCGCAUAACGUCGCAAGACCAAAGAGGGGGACCUUCGGGCCUCUUGCCAUCAGAUGUGCCCAGAUGGGAUUAGCUAGUUGGUGAGGUAACGGCUCACCAAGGCGACGAUCCCUAGCUGGUCUGAGAGGAUGACCAGCCACACUGGAACUGAGACACGGUCCAGACUCCUACGGGAGGCAGCAGUGGGGAAUAUUGCACAAUGGGCGCAAGCCUGAUGCAGCCAUGCCGCGUGUAUGAAGAAGGCCUUCGGGUUGUAAAGUACUUUCAGCGGGGAGGAAGGUGUUGUGGUUAAUAACCGCAGCAAUUGACGUUACCCGCAGAAGAAGCACCGGCUAACUCCGUGCCAGCAGCCGCGGUAAUACGGAGGGUGCAAGCGUUAAUCGGAAUUACUGGGCGUAAAGCGCACGCAGGCGGUCUGUCAAGUCGGAUGUGAAAUCCCCGGGCUCAACCUGGGAACUGCAUUCGAAACUGGCAGGCUUGAGUCUUGUAGAGGGGGGUAGAAUUCCAGGUGUAGCGGUGAAAUGCGUAGAGAUCUGGAGGAAUACCGGUGGCGAAGGCGGCCCCCUGGACAAAGACUGACGCUCAGGUGCGAAAGCGUGGGGAGCAAACAGGAUUAGAUACCCUGGUAGUCCACGCCGUAAACGAUGUCUACUUGGAGGUUGUGCCCUUGAGGCGUGGCUUCCGGAGCUAACGCGUUAAGUAGACCGCCUGGGGAGUACGGCCGCAAGGUUAAAACUCAAAUGAAUUGACGGGGGCCCGCACAAGCGGUGGAGCAUGUGGUUUAAUUCGAUGCAACGCGAAGAACCUUACCUGGUCUUGACAUCCACAGAACUUUCCAGAGAUGGAUUGGUGCCUUCGGGAACUGUGAGACAGGUGCUGCAUGGCUGUCGUCAGCUCGUGUUGUGAAAUGUUGGGUUAAGUCCCGCAACGAGCGCAACCCUUAUCCUUUGUUGCCAGCGGUUAGGCCGGGAACUCAAAGGAGACUGCCAGUGAUAAACUGGAGGAAGGUGGGGAUGACGUCAAGUCAUCAUGGCCCUUACGACCAGGGCUACACACGUGCUACAAUGGCGCAUACAAAGAGAAGCGACCUCGCGAGAGCAAGCGGACCUCAUAAAGUGCGUCGUAGUCCGGAUUGGAGUCUGCAACUCGACUCCAUGAAGUCGGAAUCGCUAGUAAUCGUGGAUCAGAAUGCCACGGUGAAUACGUUCCCGGGCCUUGUACACACCGCCCGUCACACCAUGGGAGUGGGUUGCAAAAGAAGUAGGUAGCUUAACCUUCGGGAGGGCGCUUACCACUUUGUGAUUCAUGACUGGGGUGAAGUCGUAACAAGGUAACCGUAGGGGAACCUGCGGUUGGAUCACCUCCUUACC